rnacentral:rRNA from 1 species
UACGUAGGGGGCAAGCGUUGUCCGGAAUCAUUGGGCGUAAAGCGCGUGUAGGCGGCCCGGUAAGUCCGCUGUGAAAGUCGGGGGCUCAACCCUCGAAAGCCGGUGGAUACUGUCGGGCUCGAGUACGGAAGAGGCGAGUGGAAUUCCUGGUGUAGCGGUGAAAUGCGCAGAUAUCAGGAGGAACACCGGUGGCGAAGGCGGUUCUCUGGGCCGAUACUGACGUGAGGAGCGAAAAGCGUGGGGGAGC